AGAAUCAACGCUGGCGGCGUGCCUAACACAUGCAAGUCGAACGAGAAAGGGUAGCAAUACCUGAGUACAGUGGCGCACGGGUGAGUAACACGUGACUAACCUACCCUGGAGUGGGGAAUAACUGAGGGAACCUUAGCUAAUACCGCAUAAUACCUACGGGUCAAAGGAGCAAUUCGCUUAAGGAGGGGGUCGCGGCCGAUUAGUUAGUUGGCGGGGUAAUGGCCCACCAAGACUGUGAUCGGUAU
rnacentral:rRNA from 1 species